ACAAAAGCUCUGAGUGAUCAAACCUUAUCUCUGGCCCCGGAUUGAAUUCUUCUCCUCCAGAGGCCAAGAAUCAUGGCAUCUUUCAUGGUUCAGCAACAACCUUUCAUCUUGGAGGCUCAUCCAGGAUUCUUCAGCACAAGAUGUCGGCGAACAAUUCCAGCCUCACACCUUUGAACUGUAUCCUGAAAAACUAGGAUAGAUUUGAUCCUCAAAGCUUAAAGAAGGCACUCCUGAUCUUCAGUGAUACUGAAUGGCCACAGUAUCCUUUAGAAGACAGGGAAUGCUGACCUGUUAAAGGAUCUCAAUUAUUACUGUUUUACAAUUAGGCCAGUUCUGUAGAAAACAAGGGAAAUGGGUAGAAGUA